UCAACUUCAAUAUUUAAUUGCCUGUGUCUGUGAAGUCACCUGAAAAAAAAUCAUCAUGUUGGCACAUGCGUACUUUGAAUCACUACGGGGAUUCCCCACUGAGCCAGAAGGAGCUCAAGGCAAAGCCAAGAAGAACUACUCCAUGCUGUGGAUUGCGUGCGCGGGGAAGAUCUCCAGAAAGUUUGUGGUUUCUAUCUACAGCGACCAGGAACAUCGCAGUAAAGCUUAGGUGAUGGCGAUUGCAGAACACCGUAAAAGAAUAGCCUUGGAAGCAUUGCCCCUCUACCUCAGGGAGGACCCAACACGUCUUUUCAAGAAAUGUCUGGAUAGAGAUGUUGAGGAAGACUACACCAAAGGUGUGAAAAUUGGGAUCCUCACAGUGAUAGAAGAUGACGUUGCAGCAGUCAAGUCUCUUCCUACGGUAAUCAACACAGCCAUCAUUUUGGAAGAGACUGUUGUUCUCCAGGAUAUUAAGGAUGUACUAUCUGCAUUUGCAUAUUUGAUGGGCCUUGUUUAUGCAAUCAAUAUGCAAUACCCCAAAAACCUCAAGUAUACCUUUGAAGUGAUACAAAAGGUUUUUCUCAACCUAGGAGCUAGCAGCUGUUCUGCGAGAACCCUGUCUUUCAGAAAUAAAAUGCAGGGACAUCUGCGAUAGUUUGAUUGAUGUAAUGGCACAUUACUGGAAGUUUUACUGAUUGUUAGGACUGUGAGACCUUUUAAGUUUAAUUUUAUGCAUUUGGUAACGCUUUACUUAACGGGUGAGUACAUAACAUAUUCAUAGUAGCUGUAGUGACCGUUUCAGAAGACAUGACAACAUUCAUACCCAACCCUUC